CACGUAGGGCGCAAGCGUUGUCCGGAAUUAUUGGGCGUAAAGAGCUCGUAGGCGGUCUGUCGCGUCUGCUGUGAAAACUCAGGGCUUAACCCUGAGCUUGCAGUGGGUACGGGCAGACUAGAGUGCGGUAGGGGAGACUGGAAUUCCUGGUGUAGCGGUGAAAUGCGCAGAUAUCAGGAGGAACACCGGUGGCGAAGGCAGCUUACUAGGCUGUAAACUGACGCUGAGGCACGGAAAGUGUGGGGAUCAAACAGG
rnacentral:rRNA from 1 species